rnacentral:lncRNA from 1 species
UCCCACUAAAGAUGCUCUUAUAACAACAAAACAAUUUCUGCAGAGAAACAUAAACACACGCACGCGUGAGAAAGUGAGAGAAAAAAUAGCAAACCGCAAGAGUGAGUGGCCGCGACCGCGAGAGAGGGAGUGAACGGCGGCGAGAUGGAAACGAUCAGCAAUGUUGUCUACGACGGCGAGAUUGGGUUCCGGUGGCGAGGCUGCAGCGCGGUGGUGAUUUUCAGCUGUAGUUGCGGCGAAGCUUUCUUUCUCCUUUCUUUCUUGUUCUGUUUAUGAUUUUUGUUUACUGGUUGUGAUGGUUAUGGUGAGUUUAUUUGACGAAAAAAUGUUGGUGAUGGUUUGAUGAUUAUUGUGGUUAAAAGGGAUGGUGUUUUGAAGGUGAUUGCGUUGGAAUGGUGAUGGAGGUUUUAUAGUGGUGGUGGAAGAUGGUUGGUGGGGUUGAAGGAAAUUGAGAUGGUGUUGUGUUGUUACAGUGCUGGUGUUUGUGAGUGAAAGAUGGUGGUGAUGUGUUUACACUCUACAUUUUGCUGGUUUUUCUCUUCCACCUCCUCUGUUUUUGUUUUCAAAUUCACUCCCCCCAAUUUUCUGUGUUUCUCUUGUUUUUUUCUUCAAUUUUCC